rnacentral:piRNA from 1 species
UGCUAGUGAUGCGUGUGAAGUACGC